CUCGUGUUCAUUUAAGGUUCCCAGCAGACUAGCCCAGGAAAAUCACUGCCAGUCAAGCCAAGGUUGAUGGUAUACGGUAACUGAGUUUUUCUUAGAAGACAGACAGACAAGCAAAUCAGUUUUCUUUAAGAGCAAUAAUUCUAACUAAUUGUUUGGUUUCAUUGUGUUUCCAUAGCAGGAGCUCUAGUGCUUGGCAGGGCAGAACAGUGACACUUCCCAUCCAAGGCACAUCCGUGUAAAUGGGCAAAUUGAAUUCCACCGCGUGAGGUUAUUCUCGUACAGCGGUAGGGAAAUGGAGCUGGUUUUGGAACAAAGCCACCACAUUCAGUCUUCUUAACCUUCAGUCUGGAUAGCUGCAAAGAAGAACAGAAGAAUUUUAUGCUUAACAUUUUAACUUGGCUUGAUGUGCUUCACAGUAGCAGGAAUAGUAAAUAUCCAUAAGAAGAAAGAAAUUCACACGUCAGAGCAAAGCUCAGAACUAGAGAAGAUUGAUGCUGAUCAUGGACACUGUACUCCCCAGAAGGAGUCAGGCUGCUUCAGCCCUGGGCUUCUGUGCUGAAGGAGCCUGUGUCACACCUGCCAGCCUCUUCUUCCACAUUUCAUCUGGCAAAACCCAGGCCAUCACUUCAUGGUCCACAGUCAGCCUCAGGAUGGAGGAGGAUGGCAGUGUCAGGACAAGAGGACUGUUGCAAGACAAAGCCUUCAAUGCUGAACCUUAAACCCAAGCCUUCUGCUCUUGCCAGGUAACAAUUUUUGGACUGAUUCACUCUGUCUUACUUUGCAUUAAGCCAUUGUGUUACCCUUCAUCACACCAGGGUCGCAGCUGGUCUCCAGCAGUGCAGGCAAGCGAAGGACAGAGCCUGUGGUCCUCCCUGUACCCUCCUUUUGGGUACCUGUAGCUCCACAGAGCUGCCUCAUCACGUAAUGAUGCUCACAGCAACACGAACUGGGAUCCUGCAGGUACGGGGUAGAGGCUUUCUCCCUUGAACAACACUGCUCAGAAAAUGCUAGGAAAUUCUGUAUUAGUCCUUAACUUGGUCUGUUGUGUGGGUUUUUUUCCUCUCCAGCAGCAGCAUGAAUUAAGGAUGAAGCAUUAGCCCCAGCUGCAAUACCCCCCCCCCCGUCAGUUCUUCAUGUUAUUUAUAUGUACCCUUUUGUAAGCAUAUCGAUUACACAAGUGAGUUCUCAAGUGCUUGGGCACUCAAUACAGCCACACAAUGGAGGAAAGAGUCCAGGUUAACAUGGAAUUACACAUGUGCUGAACAUACCAGGGGACAGGAAUAUAUAGUGACAUGUACAAUUCAAAGCCACGUCUUAAGAACUUUGUUUUGUUGCAAGGCAAGCACUUCAAGCUUUUAAAAAUAAACCCUGCAUUUUAAUUUCCAAGGUGUAGCAACCGAAGUUUCUCUCAGUUAUUCUUAGCCAUGGCAGAAUUGCCAUCUUCAGGCCACUUCUGAACACACCAGAUUAUUCCACGCUAAUCCAAAAUCCAGUGCAGGCUCCUCCCUCCCCUCUGUUCGUUUUACCCUUUGCAUUAUGAAUGCUGUGGGUAAGGGCUGCCUGUUUCACAGGGGGCUUGGUAUCACAGCAAGCUGGUUGUUGAUCUCUGGAUGCCUGCAGGCCAGCAAUCUGUGCUACAAGUUACCCCUCUUAAAAAAAACUCACAAAAAAGACAAGUGGAUAAAACUGAUGGAAGCAUCUGUAACAGGCUAAUUGGGCCCUUGUGGGCAACAUAGCAGAUACAAAAUUAAAACAAACAAAACAUCUCAUUGUACAACUGUACUUUCAGGACUGUUAUCACAGAGGAAUCCGCCUGGAUUUUUAUUUUAGGUUUGUUUUGGUUAAAAGGACCUAAUUAUGGCCUGAGCUGGAGUAUCACAAGUCUGUUUUCAUCUAUAAAGAAAGGAUAUUUUGCCUCUGAACCUGAGAAAUUGUUAGAAGUUGGUAAUUAGUAUGACUUGUUAAUAGAGUUUGGCUGUGAUUAAGCUGUGAUUGAGUGUGAGUUUGGUUCUUGUCAAUGCGAAUGCCUGUAAGGUUGAGAGAUGUUUAAUGAGACACCUGUUGUCAGCAGCACCCGCUGGUGCUGCGCCUGACUGGAAUCUGUACCGCCGAGCGGGACCGAGUGUAGGGCAGGGUCAGACCCACUGGGUAUGUGCACCCAGCUGCAGAGGGCUGCCCCUUGGUGGUCAGAGCCUGGCACCCUUCAGCACGGCCACAGCCUGUGCUCAGAUGCACCAGGGCUGGGCCGUGGUGUGGUGUUUGGUGUGAUACAGCAAUUACAUCUGACCUGGGGAGCGCAACAGGCAAACAGUGCUGACAUCUUAAUUUAGUCACUGCGAUGUUGGCCUCUGCCACCAUGUGCUGGUAGGUCUUUGGGAGGAGGCAAGAGAGGGGUUGCACCAGGCAGGUUUAAACACA
ensembl:lncRNA